UACGGAGGGUGCGAGCGUUGUCCGGAAUUAUUGGGCGUAAAGAGCUCGUAGGCGGUUUGUCGCGUCUGCUGUGAAAUCCCGAGGCUCAACCUCGGGCCUGCAGUGGGUACGGGCAGACUGGAGUACUGCAGGGGAGACUGGAAUUCCUGGUGUAGCGGUGGAAUGCGCAGAUAUCAGGAGGAACACCGGUGGCGAAGGCGGCAUCCUGGACCGGUAUUGACGCGUGAGGCGCGAAAGCCCAGGGGAGCAAAACGGGG
rnacentral:rRNA from 1 species